GGGGGAGGGUGGGGUGGUGGUUGGGCUCUAGUCAGACCUACCAUUCUUGAUGAUGAUAAAAUUUCAUGAGAGGAAUAAAGAAAUUCUUGCAAGAGAUGUUUGAUCAGAAGCAAAUAAAAAUUGCAAGAAUCAACAUACUGGUAUGAUAGUGCAAGAAGACACUCAGUGGCAUGCAGAGAAGCUAAGUGUUCAAAAUUCUUCCCAUGGCAUUAACACAAUCAAGGGCGGUCCAACGCCCCUGCUUUGGCCAUGAAGAGAGGAUUGAAACUAAGAAAUGACUUCUCUAAUUUUUUGGUUUGUUCAUAAAGGAAAAUGGUUGGAUUGCCAACCAAGAAAGUCUAGCACUGUAUAAAAAUGCCAAAAGGGGAAAAUUAACAAGCUAAAAUUCAAAACGUAAGCGGCCCAAAUUGAUAUUUAACACGCAGACAUGUCCCCUGCAAAUUGAAAAUAGACAUUUCUUAAGAAUAAUUCCAAUUCCUUCUAUUUUGAAAUAUAGGAGUUCCAAGGACAAUGUGUUUUCUUUUUUACUCAGUAGAUAAAAAAAUUCAAAAACUUUUCCAACCCACAUAUCCAAGCUCGAGUUAUGUCCAAUACUGGCUUCAUGGAAGGUAAUACUCAAAACUUCAUACCAAUCUAAAUGGAGAAGACAAGAGUGGAAAAUGCCAAAACAAAUAACAAAAAUUAUUCUUUUCUCAAGCAGACGUGUAUACAUUAGAUAGUGUGUUUCAAAAUUGAUACUUCUUGCACAGCAAGUCACAGUGGAUAUUUUAUUAUUCAACCUACUUUAUUUGUAUAUAGAUUUUAUGCAUUAAAUGUUGUGCUCAGAACAAAACUAGAAACAAAGUUUUACAACCUCAAUCGAUGACAUCAAAUGCAUUCUUGCGGAGUGGUAGUAACAUGUAAAUACUGAAUAGACCUAAAAGGCAUUUAAAGCAAGUAAUAGGUGUUUGCCAUUCUUUAGCAUUUGGUAAAUUGUAUUAUAAGUAACAUACUUGUCCUGAAUCCCCACAAAUAGUACACACUAUUUGGCACUGUGUAAGUGGGCCACUUACUAUGCUAUGCAAUAAGCAAAAUUUCACAAAGCCAACGCCAAUUUUGAUUCCUCUCAUUUGACAUAUCGGUGCUCUUAGCAAUUUUUGACACUACACUGAUCAUGUAUAGCAGCAUUUCACGAUUUCUUAAAGUGGGCAAUCCUCUAUAUAUAAAUACAUCCACUUAUAGUCAACAUUUUCUUAGCAACCAAACAGGGCAAUAAAAUAAUAAAUUUUUAAAACCAAAAGCGACUAAAUCAAUGAGCAAAACAAAUACGAACCGAUUCUAAAUAAAACUCAGAAGGAAAAUCUACAGCGAAACAAUUUUGGAUGAAACCCAAUUCAAGUUUUGCAAAGAUUCUUAUAGGAAAAAAAAAAACAACAUAUUCAGGCAUAGGAACGCACCAGGAUUAGGAGUAGGUUCUUCCGGGUCGUAGUAAGAUGAUGCCGGAUCUAUAUAUUGUUCGUAGAAAAAUCUACGCGGUCGACGGUUUCUCCAAUUGCCCAUUUUACAUCAGAAUCCCACAACCUUCUCAAUUAAAUCUCACUCACUCCCAUGUUAAAAGCUUGAUUCUUGAGAGAGGGAAUUUCAACGUAAGGGAGAAACGCCGAUAGAUAAACUGAAGGGCU
rnacentral:misc_RNA from 1 species